AAAACGACUCUCGGCAACGGAUAUCUCGGCUCACGCAUCGAUGAAGAACGUAGCAAAAUGCGAUACUUGGUGUGAAUUGCAGAAUCCCGUGAACCAUCGAGUUUUUGAACGCAAGUUGCGCCCGAAGCCGUCCGGCCGAGGGCACGUCUGCCUGGGCGUCACGC
rnacentral:rRNA from 1 species